CGCGUGCGGCCGCUACCAUGCGAGUCGAGGGGUAUAGUAGCAAUACUAGAGACCGGCGAACGGGUGCGUAACGCGUAUGCAAUCUACCUUUUGCAGAGGGAUAGCCCAGAGAAAUUUGGAUUAAUACCUCAUAGUAUAGUACAAUCGCAUGAUUGAACUAUUAAAGUCACAACGGCAAAAGAUGAGCAUGCGUCCCAUUAGUUAGUUGGUAAGGUAACGGCUUACCAAGACUACGAUGGGUAGGGGUCCUGAGAGGGAGAUCCCCCACACUGGUACUGAGACACGGACCAGACUCCUACGGGAGGCAGCAGUGAGGAAUAUUGGACAAUGGGCGCAAGCCUGAUCCAGCCAUGCCGCGUGCAGGAUGACGGUCCUAUGGAUUGUAAACUGCUUUUGCACAGGAAGAAACAACUCUACGUGUAGAGUCUUGACGGUACUGUGAGAAUAAGGAUCGGCUAACUCCGUGCCAGCAGCCGCGGUAAUACGGAGGAUCCAAGCGUUAUCCGGAAUCAUUGGGUUUAAAGGGUCCGUAGGCGGUCUUAUAAGUCAGUGGUGAAAUCUCCCCGCUCAACGGGGAAACGGCCAUUGAUACUGUAAGACUUGAAUUAUUAGGAAGUAACUAGAAUAUGUAGUGUAGCGGUGAAAUGCUUAGAGAUUACAUGGAAUACCAAUUGCGAAGGCAGGUUACUACUAAUGGAUUGACGCUGAUGGACGAAAGCGUGGGUAGCGAACAGGAUUAGAUACCCUGGUAGUCCACGCCGUAAACGAUGGAUACUAGCUGUUGGGAGCAAUCUCAGUGGCUAAGCGAAAGUGAUAAGUAUCCCACCUGGGGAGUACGUUCGCAAGAAUGAAACUCAAAGGAAUUGACGG
rnacentral:rRNA from 1 species